CAAGGCUCAAGAACUACGUGAAGAAUGCAGAAGCCUCAGGAGUUGAUGCAAUCAACUGGAAGAAAGGGUAUCAGUGAUGGAAGAUGAAAUGAAUGAAGUGAAGUGAGAAGGGAAGUUUAGAGAAAAAAGAAUAAAAAGAAAUGAACAAAGCCUCCAAGAAAUAUGGGACUAUGUGAAAAGACCAAAUCUACAUCUGAUUGGUGUACCUGAAAGUGAUGGGGAGAAUGGAACCAAGUUGGAAAACACUCUACAGGAUAUUAUCCAGGAGAACUUCCCCAAUCUAGCAAGGCAGGCCAACAUUCAGAUUCAGGAAAUACAGAGGAUGCCACAAAAAUACUCCUCGAGAAGAGCAACUCCAAGACACAUAAUUGUCAGAUUCACCAAAGUUGAAAUGAAGGAAAAAAUGUUAAGGGCAGCCAGAGAGAAAGGUCGGGU
rnacentral:lncRNA from 1 species